rnacentral:lncRNA from 1 species
ACAGCUCCAACGACCACCAGCGCCUCCUACAGUCCUACUGUCAGCCUCAGCUCGCCCGAAGCAAAGCUAGCGAGUACGCAGCGCGCGAUGGCGGCCGCGACCAUGGCGCUCUCCUCCCCGGCGAUGGCGGGCACACCUGUGAAGGCCUCCAGGGCGGCGCCCUUCGGGGAGGGCCGCAUCACCAUGCGCAAGACGGCGGGCAAGCCCAAGGUGGCGGCGUCCAGCAGCCCGUGGUACGGCUCCGACCGCGUGCUCUACCUCGGCCCGCUCUCCGGCGACCCGCCGAGCUACCUCACCGGCGAGUUCCCCGGCGACUACGGCUGGGACACCGCGGGCCUGUCGGCCGACCCCGAGACCUUCGCCAAGAACCGGGAGCUGGAGGUGAUCCACUGCCGUUGGGCCAUGCUCGGCGCGCUCGGCUGCGUCUUCCCGGAGCUGCUCGCCCGCAACGGCGUCAAGUUCGGCGAGGCCGUGUGGUUCAAGGCCGGCUCCCAGAUCUUCAGCGAGGGCGGCCUCGACUACCUCGGCAACCCCAGCCUGGUGCAUGCGCAGAGCAUCCUUGCCAUCUGGGCCUGCCAGGUGGUGCUGAUGGGCGCCGUGGAGGGCUACCGCGUGGCCGGCGGCCCGCUGGGCGAGAUCGUGGACCCGCUCUACCCCGGCGGCAGCUUCGACCCCCUGGGCCUCGCCGAGGACCCCGAGGCCUUCGCGGAGCUCAAGGUGAAGGAGAUCAAGAACGGCCGCCUCGCCAUGUUCUCCAUGUUCGGCUUCUUCGUCCAGGCCAUCGUCACCGGCAAGGGCCCCCUCGAGAACCUCGCCGACCACCUUGCCGACCCCGUCAACAACAACGCCUGGGCCUUCGCCACCAACUUCGUCCCCGGCAAGUGAGCGCAGUCAGCUCAACCUCUAGGCCGACAACUUCAUGGCUGAUGGAUGCUGCUGCAUGUGUGUCGUCGUCGAUCUCUGCUUCUUCCCGUUCUGAGAUUGAGUAGUCCGGACUGAUAGAUGUUGCAUGUGAGGGCGAUUCGAGAUGAGGAGUUGGUGUGUGUACACUACAAGAUGGUGUUUGUGUAAUAUCUGGCUAUUUUCUCAGAUUAAUCAAGGCAUCUCUGUUCUUCUGCUUAACUCCUUGGUUUCUCUGAACCUCUGAAUGUCAAAUGCAGAAGUUCUAUGAAUGUUUCUCUGAAAGUCCAAGCAACUAAAGCAUUCAAAUUCAUCAAGACAUUCAUUCCAUCCAUUUCAAGUUUUCAACACUGAUCAACUCAACAAUCCUGUAAAUACAAUUCCAUUUGUAUAUGUAACAAAUACUCUACAAAUCUGGGGUUUCCUACAGUAAAAAAAGUAAAAUGAAACGCUAGGACUAGUGCAACUUCCUUCUGAUGAAGAAGAAAGUUGCAGUUACUACUGUGCUACCGGCCUUGCAGAACGGUCAUGGCAAUGGUGUUCCUGCUGUUCUCGAGAUCGGUUCUCUGGAUCUUCUCUUCCAUCAUUCCGACGUACCCUGGCUGGUUCGGCGCCGGGAGAGACGCCGAUGCCACCACCGACGCGCUUCCGUUCUCCAAGAUGGACACAACGGACGACAUGAGGGGCCUCCUGCUCGGGUCGUCCUCCACGCACAGGAGGCCGACGUGGAUGCAGAGCAAUGCCUCAUCCUGCGAACAGCUCUCUGCCAUGGAUGGAUCCACCAGCUUGACUGCCUUCCCUUCCCUCCACAGGUGCCAUGCCUACAUGAAACAACCAAACCAACCAUCAGGAAUUGUUUUUUUCUUGCUAUUAUGAAUACAGAUACGAUCACAACAUGGAGUACUCCCUCUGUAAAAAAAUAGAAGAGUGUCUAGAUACUUAGAAACUUCAACGGUUUGGUUUGGCAGUACCAGUGAAAAUGCAGGUGCUUACAUAGACUAUCAAGCUAGGGAACUCCAUGAUGCCCUUGGUUGCGCUUAUCCUAACGCCGCUCACGAUCUCCAGCAGCAGCACGCCGAAGCUGUACACGUCGGACUUAACUGAGAAGACACCCUCCGUCGAGUACUCGGGGGCAAUGUAGCCGCUUGUCAACACAUAAUUUUUUUAGUUAGAAGAGGUGUCACAUGUUUUUUUGUCAAAUGCUACUACCAACCUAAGUAAAAAAAAACUCUUUCCCGCCCUGUAAAUGUAUUCAAGUGUUCAAGAUACUCACUAUGUUCCAACGACGCGCUUGCUGUUGGCUUUGACCUGGUUGUCGCCGAAGAUCUUGGCCAUGCCGAAGUCGGCGAUCUUGGGCCGCAUCUCGGCGUCUAAAAGGACGUUGCUGGCCUUGAGGUCCCUGUGUAUCACCGUCAGCCUCGAGUCCUGGUGGAGGUAGAGCAGCCCCCUCGCUACCAACCUUGAUGAUCCCCAGCCUCGUCGGCCAGUCCAGCACAGAUUUCCUCCCUGCCCUGAAUCCUUGCUCAGUCUCUUCACAGCAACCACAUGACCGCCUUCCAACGUCCCCUUCCCAAUGGUAAAAAGAAAAAAACUGGAGUGACCGAGAUCAUGAAUUGCUUUAGUUUGGCGACUGAAUAUUGUGCAGGAGAUUUCAGGCAUAUCCAAAGUUUUAAAUAACCGGAUAUAGUCAUUGAUGUACUUUGCCGAUCGUGGAUCCGAUCGAUUUUUUUCUCUCGCAUACAUAUAGCUCUGGUCUUAUAUGACUUUGCUAUUUGCUGGUGUGUCCUUGUGUGUGUGUCUGUUGGUGUUGGUUACGUGCAUCUUAGUUAUGCAAAGGUUAUGUAUGCUCUUUGGGUUUGUAUCCUCUUGAUGCAGCCAAUAAAAUCCACCCUUUGUCAAACGCUCCAUGAAGGUUGGUUUCAAAAAGAAAAUCGAAAAUGAUAUUAUUUUUAAUUUUGAAGAAAAACUGACAAAAAAUAGACAUGUACAUAGAUAUUUAUAUACUACGUUCAUGUAAAUUUUCAUAGUGAAACAGAUUUUGGUCUAGGCUAUACAAAACAAUCAUGAAUUUUUACGAUGAUUAGUAAAUGUGUUAGAUAUACAUGAUUUUGUCUUUUUUGUGUAGCUGACAUUAAAACAUAUUUGAUCGUGAAAAUUUAUAGAAAUGUCUGAUACAGUUCUAUGUACAUAUGUUUUUUUUAAGAUUUUUCUGAAACCUGAAUAAUGUAUUUAUAUUAUGUUUAUAAAUUCAGGCUCCAUGGAGCCGGAGAUCUGAAAGGCAUUUCCGACUAUAGCCCCGCUAUUCCGUUGCUAUAGUUAAUUUGGAAGACUGACGAUAUUUAAAAUAUCCCGCUAUUUAAAACUACGUGUAUACCUUAUAGACAUUGCCAAAGCCUCCACGGCCAAUCAUGAAUGUCUUGGAGAAGUUGCCUGUGGCGGUGAUGAUGUUGGCAAACUGUAUGCACGGGAACUCAUGGUCUCCGGUGUGAUCUACUUCUCUGAUUUUCGCUCGAUGUGUUCGUGGUCCCGGUCCCAGGCACCAACUUAUUUUGGCUCUCGGUGAAAUUUCUUCUCUUGUCUGUGAAAUUGAUAAUAAUGAUCGAGUAUGACCAAAAGUGAUGUUAUGAUCCUGAGCCCACAUGCCCCCUAGUGAACAAUAAGAACCGGAAAAAUAGUAGAAGAAAUUAGAAAAAAAAAAACAAAAUCCAUACUCCAAAAUGCUUUGAAAAUAGUCUUUUUCAAUCAUCUAUUUUGUUUUUGUUUUUUGCCUGGACCUCCACGAAUAUCAUUCCAUCACAAAUAUUGGCAUCCAGAUGAAACACUCAACAAUGUUUAUCGCACAAAACAAAUUCUGAAUAUUUUGAAUCUUUUUCAAAAAAAAUUGGAUUUUGCUGUUCACCCACCCAGGAGCAUAUGAGCUUGAGAUCAGAAACUCCAUGUCCGAGCAUGGAUGCUUAGAGAAGGGAAGACCAUAUGACUAUACCUCUGAAUCUACGAAACCAUACGAAGAAAAUGCAUGAGAGCAGCAGGGCAGCUGCCAACACCGGCACUGCUAUCUUCACUGCAUUUCUACCUGCACGUUCAAAUACAGGGCAAAAAUUUGAUGAAAAAACACAUUUUGUGGUCUGAAUUCGGUAAAGAUUCAACAGAAUUUUGAGAAAGUUCGGUGGAAAAAAUGCAUAUGUGUCCGCUGUACCUGUGGAAGCAGCAGCAACCGGCACGCGGAGGUAGAGCGUCUCGCCGGGCGCGCCGAUCAUCUGUGCGUCCACGAGCUCCCCUGCCCACACCAGGCACCGGCCCAGUUCACCCGCGUAUGCGUAGGCCACACACGAGCAGCUGGCUGCGCACCUCGCCGCGCACUCCUCCGCGCUCCGGUUGCCUGCGUCGAGCAUGAACUUGUCCGGCACCGUCAUGCUCGGCAUCGACACAAAACCCUCCCGCUCCUGCUUCCGCCGGCACCCCUGCUCGAACCUGCCGGCGCUCCACUCCGCCGCACUCGCCGGCCGAACCCAUCGAGGCACCUGCACGCCGCCGGCGCCGCCGUGACGUCGCAGUACCCGUACGCGCUGCAGUGCCCAUAGCUGCUGCACCCGCUCGACGGCCACGACUGGAGCGUGUCCCAGGCAGACGUGGUGCCGUUCCAGCUGAGAAGCUGGAGGCUGCCGGAGCUGGUCAGCACGUACCGCGUGGGCGUGAAGGUGAUGGCGAUCUCCUCCUCGGUGGCCACGACCGCCGUGUUGACCGUGCCGGCGCUGAUGUAGCUGCUGGAGACGGCGUGCCCCGUCCAGACGGGAUUGCACCAGUAGGGGCGCGUGCCGUUCCACAUGAGCAGCUGCAGCGACGUGCUGGGGUCCAGGCCGUAGGAGAAGCGCCCCGGCGCCGGGUCGCGUGGAGACCUCCAGGGGACGAGCCAGCCAGCCUUGCCCGUGUGGCUCAGCCGCACCUCCAUCCUCGGCAGGAACGUGUCCGUCGGGUGGUCGAAGCUCUGCCACACCACCGUGCCGUCCGGCAGCUGGAUGAGCAGGUUGCCGUCGCGGCCUGCGAGGACGAUCUGCCCGCGCCGGGCGUGGUCCAGAGCACGCGGCCGUCGGCGUCGGACAGGACGAGGCUGAGUCGUUGGCCAGCGUGAGAGUCGGGGUGCUGAACGUGACAGGUCCAUGGAUGAAAUUCAAGGUGCGUCGAGCGACGAGUUUGAAUCGGUCAAUCGGUCGAGAGCGCUUGCGUCUACAUGGGCCGGCCCACCAGCAAUGACGGGUGUGCGCCCGGUACAUUUGCUGGCGCUCAAGGCUGAACGCGCCGUAUAUGAGCCCCCGGUGCUUCCCUCGCCGGCCGACUUGUGGGUCCGUGGUGGCAGGUGUGCUAACACUACCUCUGGAGUCUGGACCGAUCUCUCUCAAAGUGACUUUCACCGAUCCCAGAAACAGACCAGACUGAAACCAUCACGUUUGAGGUCGUGCGCUGCCUGUUGUGUCAAACCCAGUCUACAGGACGCUGCCAUUGCUUGCGCUAGGCUUUAUCUCUACUCCUAUAAAAAUGGGAGUUGGUGAUGAUGGUGUGUCUGCCUUGGUGCAAUCUAUACCGUUCGAUCUGGAAUCUGAGGCUGCGAUUGAGACUUUGUGCCAUCAUUUGAACAAGAGCACGGAUAGCAUGGAGGUUUCUCUCGCCAAGCAGAUUCUUCGAAAACCCUCUCCACAAUUCCUCGUUGCCGGCCCCUACCCUCUCUUUCCCAGCGUCUUUUCUCGGCGACCGCCGGAGUUGAGUUGGGCGAGGGUUCCGUCUCCUGUAUAGCUGUAUUUGUAGUUAAGGUCUUGAUAAAUCUGAUUUGGGUUGAGCUUUCCCCGGCGUCUCUCCUUCCAGAUCUGGCCGUGCAGACCGUCGGAGAGGGAGACAUGGCGGCGGUUGCUUCCUUGUCCAAGUUCCUCACUCUCCUGUCUUUCUACUCCCCAUGAGAACUAUCACCCCAAAACUGAGAUGAGCCCAUCCCCCGCACGAUCGGGCGCGAUCCUUCGUUUCCUCUAUGCCGCAUCAUCCUACGGGGAAAGAUGGCCGUGUUCGUCCAGGCCAGCGCUCCCGGCCACCCGGCAGGAGGUCUAGGUUGCCUUUGCCGAUGCAUCAAGCUGCGGGCGCUCCGCUGGCGCGGCGUGCCCAAUGCAGGUGUACGCCGGGUAUUCCCGUGUUUAUCCGAUGGUAGCGCAAUCACCGGCACAGCGUGUCGCAUUGUCUUCCUCAACGAUUGCCACGGCGCUGCUGUCGUAUUCGACCUCCUCACUUCGCCGCUGUGAUUCUAUCCGCUGGGAGGUACGUGCACAUUUAUUUCAUCCGCAAUUUUGCAUGCGUAUGAGAUUUGCUUAUUUGAUGAACUUCGGUCCUGCAGUAGUUUAAUCAGCUCAUCUUAGAGAUAUAGGCUAAUUCCUAGCUUAACAAUUUACUCCCUCCGUUCCUACAUAUAAGUCUUUUUAGGGAUUUCACUAUGGACUAGAUACGGAUCAAAAUGCGUGAAUCUAUACUCUAAAAUAUGUCCAUAUACAUCCGUAUGUAUUUUGCAGUGAAAUCUCUAAAAAGACUUACAUUUAGGAACAGAGGGAGUAUAAUUUAUCAGGCCAAUUACCUGAUGGGAGACAACCAGACGGGGAGAACGAUUGCUUGAAGAGCCUCGGGCAGUCUGCUCUCACAAGGAAAUGCAAAGGUAAUUUCACAAGAGAAGUGGUGAUGGCGAGGCUCUGCCACGACAACCUUGUUCGCCUCCUUGCGUACUGCAAUGAAGGCGACGAAUGGAUAUCCACUCAUCUAUGGCUACAUGUUGAACAACAUCAUGGAUCUCUACAUAUUUGGUACAUAUACUUGUAUAUUUUUUUCUUGCCUAUGAUCAGAAUUUGGAUCACAGUAGACAAUCAGGUUCUCUUCUAUGAUUGUUGGUUAUUGUUUUCAUGUAGUCCAAUACAUAAGUACAGCUCAUAGCUGCAUGGUUAGAAUUCAGAGAAAAUGUACAUAAAGUUCCAGAUAAUAGAAUUGCAAACUUGGACAAUACCUUUAGAGGAAAUUUGUAUGCUGGACAUGCUUGACCAUGUCAAAGAUCAUGCAUGAGUAAUUAUAUCCUCGGGUUAUUCGUAUUAUCUGCAAAGUGAGCUUCAAAAUUUUGUAAACUAGCAUUUUCAAUAGUUCAGAGCUACUACUUCACUGUCAGUAUUUAGGUGGAUGGUCUCUGUUUUAAAUUCAUGAUACAAGUAAUGCACUUCGUCAAGUUUUAUUUAUCUGUGUCCUUGGUUCCAAUAGCUAUAUAAUUUCUUCGCAAGCACCCAAGUACGGCAACUCUAUUGCCGUUCAUGCUUGGCCUAUGCCCUACAGAGAGGAAUUAGUAUUUGCCUCUUUGUGUCAGAAUGUAGUUGUGUCGCAUGCCUCUUGUAUCAUUUUCAUCGUUGAUAGAUGCAUUACCAAAAUAUCAUUGCAAAAUUUCGUGGUUGCAGUAUUUGUCUUGUUAAUUUUGCAUUCCUCCCUUUUCUCAUAAAGUGUUAAUUCUGUGUUAGUUAUAUCUUAUGUUUUCUAUGUUCAUUGCUUCUGUUGACUUCAGAUUGUGCAUAUGUGGAGAAGCAUGUAUGAUUGCCCUCAGGUUUAGAACAUAUUGCAUAACAAGCCAUUCUCCUUGGCAGCCGACCUAGAAGUGAGGUCACAAUUGACACCCCUUGUCGUCCAACUUCCGGCACUUGAAGUCUCUGUGCGACAAAAUUAUGCUUGCCAUCUGAUCACCUUGCCGCAUGGUAUGUUCAUGGGACAGAGAAUAUGAGAUGCAGCUCCCCAAUGUUUUCACUUCUCCACUCAAAAUUUUCAGGCCACAACCUGAAUAUUUGUUUCCUUGUUGUCUGUCAUCAGCAUUUUUCUUUGCAGAAACCUGGUUAAGGAAGUUACCAGUAGUCCAGUACUAAUAUUUUCGUAUGUAUGUACUUGUGCACUCACCCCUUUUAUAUACAUAUAUGGUUCAAAAAGCAUCUUUUACUUUAUUUUUUGUUUAUUUGCUCAGUACAAAAUGUAGUGCAGUCUAUGAUUUUUUUCCUUGGUCUAAAUAUACCACAGACCCUCUACAGGCUCCUUAUUUUUUUUCCAUUGUCUAAAUAUACUACAGACCGUUUAUAUAUAUGCAGUACUGAUUGCCUAAUGUCCUUCUAGGUGAGAAGAUAGAUUAAGUUGGAGUUCGAGAGCUAAUAUUGUUGGCACAAAUGUUUUGAGCAAACAACUAAAAGAAGGGUAUACUAUGCUUUGCAGAUGGAAAAUGAUUCCACGGCCUCAUAUAUGCCUAUGGUAUAUGUAACUAAGCAUGAAUCAAUUUUUUUUCUCUUCAUGGUGCUAUUGCAUGCAGCAUGCUUGUGCAUAUUUAUCAAAGUAUUCAGUUGAACACUUCUACUUCAUUCUUGUUUGUUCUUGAAAGUGUGCUCAAGCAACAGUAAGUAUGUUAUUUGGAUAUAUUAAUUGUGUGGGCUGGAGGUGGAGCCUGUGUUAACCAAAAGCAGAUUGGUAUUGUAACACUUCCCAAAUGUGUGUGGAUGGAUUUUCUAUUUGUCACAUGCUCUGUCCCCUCAAUUUAGAGAGUAAUGAGAAAGCUGGUUGGAGAGAACAACAAAUCUUCGCCAAGGUAAAAAUGGAGAAGAAAAUAUUUGGCUUGGACAAGGGGGUCAUCGAUCAGAAACCAUAAGUUUGAUUUUUGCUCAAUGCGUACACAUCAACAAUAUAGCAUUACUGUGAUCAAUGUUAUGAUACAUCUUUUUUGUCCACUAUGCUCCUAAGUAAACAAUGUCUACUUGAUUAUUUGUGAUUCCGUAGCGUAGCACUAGCACGGGCAUCUUACUAGUCUGAUAAAAAGACUGAGGUGGAGAAGUAGCUGAGUAGUAUUAGACUUUAUCUAGUCCAAAAGGCUGAGCUGAACUAGUACUACAGUUGGUGUAGUGAAGCUGGCAAGCAUCCCUAUAAAAGGGCAUAUGCAUCCAUCGUUGUAAAUCAUUCCACUCCGAUCAAUUCAACUAGUACUCCUUUCUCAAGUGCAGCUCCAUCCGUGUAUGUUCGCUAGUGUGUGUGCGUACUUGCUAGUGUGCGCAGCGCAAGCAAGUAGUACCAGCACUUAGCUCUUCCACCGGUCAUUCAUCAGGAUAUUAGCUAGCCAGUAGUUUUUGCGCUAACACUGCCAAGGCAUCUCUGUUCUUCAGCUUAACUACUUGUUUCUCUGAACCUCUGAAUGUGUAAUGCAUAACUUCUCUGAAUAAUUUUCAGCGUAAACAUGGUAAAUAUUUCAAUUUCAGCAAGACAUUCAUACCAUCCAUUUCAAGGCUGAUCAACUGAACACUCCUUUAUAUACGUCUUUCAUUUAUAUCUCUAACAAAUGCUCUACAAGUCUGGAGUUUCCCCCAGUAAAAAAACAAAAACUGGAACACUAGGACUAGUGCAGCUUCCAUGUGAAGAAUGUUGCAGUUACUACUGUAUAUACCAUACUACCUGCCUUGCAGAACUGUCAUGGCCAUGGUGUUCCUGGUGUUCUCGAGAUCGCUUCUCUCGAUCUUCUGUCCCAUCAUUUCGAAAAAACCAGGCUGCACUGGCGUUGGGAGGGAUAGUGACACCGUCGACGAUGCACUUCCGUUCUCUAAGAUGGACACGACGGAGGACAUGAGUGGCCUCCUGCUCGGGUCGUCCUCGACGCAGAGGAGCCCGACGUGGAUGCACAGCAAAGCCUCAUCCUGUGAACAGCUCCCUGCCAUGGAUGGAUCCACCAGCUUACCUGCCUUCCCUUCCCUCCACAGGCUCCAUGCCUACAUGAAAAAAAGUAUCAUAUCAACCAUUUGUGUGUUUUGUGUAUGUGUGUUUGAAGAUGAAUAUGAAUUUAGGCAUGACAUGGACUGAACUGAAAAAGGAAGGAAGGUAACUGCAAAAAUUGGCGUGGCAAUGCCAUUUUUAGUUCAGGGUCGUACAUAGACUGUCAGGCUGGGAAACUCCAUGAUGCCCUCGGUUGUGCUUAUCCUGACGCCGCUCAUCAUCUCCAGCAGCAGCACACCAAAGCUGUACACGUCGGACUUGACAGAGAAGACUCCCUCCGCCGAGUACUCGGGAGCAAUGUAGCCACUGUCCACAAGUUUUUUGUGUUGUCAGAAGAGACGCCGAAUUUUCGGUGAAAUGCUAGCUUGGUACCAACUUUAAAAAUAUGCUUUUAUUUCUGAAAAUCCAGUUAAGUGUUGAGGUUACUCACUAUGUCCCGACAACGCGCUUGGUGUUGGCUUUGACUUGGUUGUCAGCGAAGAUCUUGGCCAUGCCAAAGUCGGCGAUCUUGGGCCGCAUCUCGGCGUCCAGCAGCACGUUGCUGGCCUUGAGGUCCCGAUGUAUCACCGUCAGCCUCGAGUCCUGGUGGAGGUAGAGCAGCCCCCUGGCCACACCCUUGAUGAUCCCCAGCCUAGUAGGCCAAUCCAAGGCUGAUUUCCUCGCACUGUCUGCAACAAAUGCCAUACACAACUUCAGGAACCAUGUAAAUAGUUUCAUUAACUUGCUUGUGUAAAAACUUGAUGAGCGGCUUCUGUCAAGAGUUUCAUUAACGUGGACAUCUGAACAUUAUAUGUACCAAAGAGAAUGGCGUUGAGGCCCUUGUUGGGCAGGUACUCAUAGAUGAGAAGUUUCUCGGCCUCCUCGGUGCAGCAGCCGAGGAGGCGGACCAGGUUCCGGUGCUGCAACUUGGCGAUCAGAAUGGCCUCGUUCUUGAACUCCUCUGCUCCCUGGUCCGAGUCCUUGCUCAGCCUCUUCACAGCGACCACCUGACCGCCGUAUAGUGUUCCCUUCCCAAUGGUAAACAGAAGCAAGUGGACCGAGUGAGAUCAUGAGUUGCUUUAGUUUGGCGACUGAAUUUUGUGCAGGAGAUUUUAGGUGACUAAAUUUAGUACCUUGUAGACUUUGCCGAAGCCUCCGCGUCCGAUCAUGAGUGUUUCCGAGAAGUUGCCGGUGGCCGCGACGAUGUCGGUGAGCCGUAUAGAGGGGAACUCAAGGUCUACCGUGUGAUCUCCUUCGAUUUCGCUCCAUGUGUUUGUGGUUCCCGUCCCGGGCAUUAGCUUCUUCUGGCUCACGGUUUUCUUUCUCCUAUCUAUGCAAGAUGUUGUGAGCAACUUUUUCUAAGAAUGAUUGAGCAUUUGAGCAUGUCACGUUUAGCGGUAAGAGGAAAUUACUGUACCUCUGAAUCUCCACAACCAUACAAAGAAAAUGCAUGUGAGCAAUAGGACAGAUGCUGGCACCGGCAGUGCUAUUUUCACUACAUUUCUGCUGGACUUUCCACCUCUGUUCGGCAGGGCUAACACCGGCACUGGCAAAUUGGUUCGGUUUGAUUAAACAGACGAAGUUCGGCAAAAAAAUAAAAAAAAAUUAUGUUUCUGCUGUACCACCUGUGGAGGCAGCAGCAACGGGCACGCGGAGGUAGAGCGUCUCGCCGCCCCAGCCGAUCAUCUGCGCGUCGACGAGCUCCCCUGCCCACACGAUGCACCGGCUCACGUCCCCCAUGGCGCUGCUGCUCUGCAGGUUGGCGUACGCCAUGCACGAGCAGUUGGCGGCGCACCUCGCCGCGCACUCCUCCGCGCUCCGGUUGCCGGAGUCGAGCGAGAACUUGUCCGGCACGUUCAUCGUAGGCAUCGCUAUGAAACCCACUCCUAUGCUGCCGCGUCCGCACGGCGGCAGCGCCUCCUUCCGCCGGCACCCUUGCUCGAAACUGAAAGCUGUCCACUCCGCCGGACUCGCCGGCUCGAAGCCAUCGAGGCACCUGCACGCCGCGGGAGCCACCGUAACGUCGCAGUACCCGUACGCACCGCAGUCCCUGUACGUGCUGCACCCGCUCGUCGGCCACGACUGGAGCAUGUCCCAGGUCGACGCGGCGCCGUCCAAGCUGAGGAGCUGGAACCUGCCGGAGCUGGUCACCACGUACCGUGUAGGCGCCGCGCCACUGGAAACGGUGAUGGCCACGGAGAUCUCCUCCUCGGUCAGGACGAUCGCCGUGUAGAGUAUCGUGCCGGCGCUGACGUACAUGCUGGUCACGGCGUGCCCCGUCCAGACGGGCGUGCGCCAGUAGGGGCGCGUCCCGUUCCACAUGAGCAGCUGCAGCGACGUGCGGGGGUCCAGGCCGUAGGAAAAGCGCCCCGGCGCCGGGUCGCCGGAGGAUUUCCAGGACACGAUGCGGUCGCCCUUUCCCGUCCGGCGGCUCAGCCGCAUCUUCAUCCCCGGAAUGAACGUAUCCGUCGGGUGGUCGAAGCUCUGCCACAACGCGGGGCCGUUCGCUCGCUGGACGACCAGGUCGCCCUCGUUCGUCAGCACGGCCGCUGCCGGCGCCUGUGGUGAUGAACUGACCGCGACGGUCGUGUUCCAGAGCACGCGGCCGUCGGCGUCGGACAUGACGAGGCGGGAGUCGUUGGCCAGCGCGAGCGUCGGGGCGCUGGCGGCCGGGGCGCCCCGGUUGGCCACCCAGACGACGGUGCGAGGCCCGGGGAUGCCGUUGUACCAUAUGCCAAGAUACCGUCUCGCCGGGCCAGCGGCGUCGUCUGGGGAGAAGAAGCCGAGAGCGAAGGCGCCGCCGUCGGACACGAGGGACUGUCCGGCCAGGAGCUUCUCCCCCACGGCCAGCUGGUCCUUGGCGGACGCGCACAGGAGGAAGAAGGCGACGACGAGGACGAGGACGGCAGAACGUGACCGGUCCAUCGAUCAACUUCAAGGUGCGUGCAACGAGAUCAUCAGGAGACUUGAUUUUCUACUCCCGGGGCACCUACACAAAGCUAGCUAUUUACUCACUCCGUCUCAUAAUAUAAGAGUCAGAAUAUAAGAGCGUGCAGUGUAAAAAAACACUCUUAUAUUAGAGCAUCUUCAACAAACGCGCGAUAGCAUGGCGCGUUAAAAAAGUUUCGCAGCGCUGAAAUAGUGUUUUUGCGCGUGACAGGUUUACCAGACGCACGAGAACACACGAGCACAAGCCGGCGCCUCAAAUUUGCAGCCCCAUAGCCAUCAUGCGCUAAAUUUACGGCUCCGUUUUUGUGUGUGCUCUAUUUUACAACUUAUGUUGAAGCAUCGUUGUUUGUCGCGGGCAUAUUUUCCAGCGCGCGGCUUGUAUAGCGCGAGAUGCUCUUAUAAGACAGAGAAAGUAGCUACGGCCUUGACGUUUCUCUUGGCGGUACGAACGUGAUCAUUCUUGUCCGAAAGGCGAUGUCGCCAUUGUAGCUAACCCGACGGUCACAGGCGGAGCUCCCGGUAGGGCGAGGCAGGGCGCCCGCCCUACCUUGAUUUUGUGCAGAAAGAUUAGUACAUGUAGUCAUACGCUGUCGCUGGCCGGUUCUAUGUGCGUGGAGUCACGUUCGCUAGAAAAAAGAAGACUUGCUGCUGCUGCUGUGCAUCCUUCGCUAAGCGGGAACUAAGAAAGCAAUCAAGCCCAUCCCAGUUGAUCAAGCCGCACGCACCAGUUUCCCUCAAAAAAGAAAAAGGUGCACGCACCAGUACAUGCUAUCUCUCUCUCUCUCUAAAAAAAAAAGUACACCAUGCCAUCACACGGAGAGCUAUAAAUUUCUAUAAUUUCAGCCUAAAAAAAAUAUAAAUUUCUACAUUUUCAUGUUGUGAAUUUAUGAUGUAAAUUUUCAUAGUAGCUUCACAAUCUAGAUGGCAUUAAAGCUUCAUUAUCCAUUUGUUUUCAGGUCUACUUAAAUAUGCUUGCAUUCCCAUUGUAUUUGAAUUAGUUUAAAAUCAUGUAAAAUUAUCAGAGCAUAUUAUUAUUGUGUAUAUGCUAUUUGAUAUUUCAUCAAAUUAUAUAUCACUCCCUCCGUCCCAUAAUAUAAGAGCGUUUUUGACACUACACUGGUGUAAAAAACAUUCUUAUAUCAUGUGAUGGAGGGAGUGGUCAGUGUUCGCCCCACCUUAAACUUUUUUCGUCCUCCGCCACUGCCGACGGUGACGCUACUUUGCGAGUUCAUAUUGACUAAUUUCAGCAUGCACCCAGGUGAACUAGUCUUAGUCUGGUCUACUAUGUGUGCGCGUUUUACCUACGCGCUAGUGCAUAACUCGACCUACCUUGCCCAACAACGGCAGUUUUUUUUAACACAUUACAAUCACAAUUGCUCACGAAUAUGCACAUUGCAUCCUAUCCGCAGAGAUUUUUUUUUCUGCAGUGGAAUCAGAAAGAUGUAUUCGACCAAACGUAUUAUCUCGACAGUCAGCCAAGAAGCCACUGAACAUAAAGCUAAACAAAAUGAGAUCCAUGGGCACUAAUACCCAUGACAUACUCGUUAUAGAAUAAGCCCACCCAGGUGAGAUGAGAUCGCGGAAAUUCGCCCCCACGGGCGACGGGAGUGGAACCUGCAAGGUAGCACCAAUGUGCCCUCGCCACUGAACAGAAAUCUAGAAGGUUCGAUCAGCCAACUCUCGGUCACAUUCAAUUAUGCCAUUAAUAAAUAAGAUAAUUAAUAAAUAAUGAUGAGUUGGAACUGGACCGCGACAAGUUUACACCCACACUGUAAUUAAUAAAUAAGAUAAUACCCCGCGCGUUUUCGUGGGAAUUGGUCGAUAAAUUUUUGGGUUGACAAUAUGAGGAUGAAAAUUAAAAAUACAUAUGACUUAAUAUAUUUCGUCAUGUAUACUUGUAAAAUAUUUAUUGAAUAUAUGUACAAUAAUUGAACAGAAAACAUUUCCCCUUCGUUGGUUUAAUGUUGUGUUGUGGUGGAUCUUUUCACAUGCAUAGUUUUCCAUACAUUUUUUCUAAAAUAUAGCAUACAUUUUUCUGAAUGUAUGAUUUUUUUUAAAUUAGGCAAAUAUUUUUUAGCAUUGUAUAAACAGUUUUCUUAGAUGUCACGUAUAUUAUUUUUAAAUGCAUGACCUUUUUUUUAAUGUCAAAAUAAUAAUUCAUACGGAUGAUCAACAUUCUUUAUACACGUUUAACAUCUUUAAAUUCAUGAUUAACAUUUUUUUAAUUUUACAUAAAGUGUUUUUGGUAUUAUAUAUUUACACUAUUUCAAAAUAUAAGGCAAAAACAAAAAUAUAAAUGUGAAGAAAAAACUUGGGUGGCGGCAACAUGACACGACCAUGUGGUUACUGGGCCGGCCCAACAAUGGCUUCAGCAUGGGACCUUGUGCUAGAGUCGCUACAAUACCUCAUGGUCUUUUUUUUUUUGAGAAAAGGCCAUCAUGGCUAGCUUUAUUACGAUUAAAUAGUAGAUACAUCGUCUACGAGCUUGCUGACCAAAACACAGGUGGCUCGUGCAACCAAAAAGAAGAGAUCUUAUUACAAUAACUAUGAUUCGCUAGCACAUGAGCUGCUUGAUUAGCAGACCGAUAACAAUGUUUAUAGACGACCUUUCCUAUAGCCGUAGCCAUAUCCACACACUCCGCAAAGAUUGCCGUAGCUGCAUCCCGCCAUCUGGAUUGUCCGGUACAAAAGUUGAUCACCUGCAUAGAAUCAGACUCCAGCUCAAGGCGACUGUAUCCGAGAGAAUUAGCUAGCUCAAGUCCAUCUUUCAUGGCCAUCACGUCGGUUGUGACUACGUCAGCUGCAAAAGGGACAAACCUGCAUUUGGCAGCAAUAAAAUUACCAUAUGCAUCUCUUAGAAUAGCUGAGAUCGCUCCCAUUCCCUCUUCCUCAUAGAACGCUGCGUCCACAUUUACUUUCACAAAAUUUGAAUCAGGUUUACUCCAUUUUCUGUCUUGUGUUCCACUUGGCUUAGAGAAGGCUUUGUGAUAAUUGCUUGCAAUCGCUAACACUGAUAUGGGCCAACAGAUAAUCAGAGGGACUGUCUCAUUAUGCGUAAUGCGUCGCCUAAUCCACCAUAAAUACCAGCAAGCCACUGCCACAACCUGCUUAAAAUUCAGAGUUGGUUCGAGCACCAUUGGGAUAUUCGACAAGUCACUAGUAGAAAACAGGCCUUACAUUUGGGCCAGAUAAGCCCAUUAGUCCCGGUUCAGUCAUGAACCGGGACCCAUGGGCCCAUUGGUCCCAGUUCGUGAGGCCAGGAGGUCUGCCAGGCCUCGUGGGGACAUUGGUCCCGGUUCGUCGGGCCCCUUUGGUCCCGGUUGGUGGGACGAACCGGGACCAAUGGGCCUCGCUCCUGGCCCACCACCAUUGGUCCCGGUUGGUGGCCUGAGCCGGGACCAAAAGCUGCCCUUUACUCCCGGUUCAUGCCACGAACCGGGACCAAUGAACCGGCCAGGGGAGAGGGCUUUUGUGUGUAAAACAUUAAAAGCAAAAAGAAUUUUCAUAAAAUAAAUAAAAAAGCAAAAAGAAAAGAAAAUAAAUAAGUAGAAACAAAAUAAAAUAAAUAAGUAGAAACAGAAAAAACUUUAAUAAAUAAGUAGAAACAAAAUAAACUUUAAUAAAGUAAAAUAAAUAAAAAUAGCAACAGUAAGUAGAAACAAAAUAAAAUAAAUAAAGCAAAAAAGAAAUANNNNNNNNNNNNNNNNNNNNNNNNNNNNNNNNNNNNNNNNNNNNNNNNNNNNNNNNNNNNNNNNNNNNNNNNNNNNNNNNNNNNNNNNNNNNNNNNNNNNNNNNNNNNNNNNNNNNNNNNNNNNNNNNNNNNNNNNNNNNNNNNNNNNNNNNNNNNNNNNNNNNNNNNNNNNNNNNNNNNNNNNNNNNNNNNNNNNNNNNNNNNNNNNNNNNNNNNNNNNNNNNNNNNNNNNNNNNNNNNNNNNNNNNNNNNNNNNNNNNNNNNNNNNNNNNNNNNNNNNNNNNNNNNNNNNNNNNNNNNNNNNNNNNNNNNNNNNNNNNNNNNNNNNNNNNNNNNNNNNNNNNNNNNNNNNNNNNNNNNNNNNNNNNNNNNNNNNNNNNNNNNNNNNNNNNNNNNNNNNNNNNNNNNNNNNNNNNNNNNNNNNNNNNNNNNNNNNNNNNNNNNNNNNNNNNNNNNNNNNNNNNNNNNNNNNNNNNNNNNNNNNNNNNNNNNNNNNNNNNNNNNNNNNNNNNNNNNNNNNNNNNNNNNNNNNAAAGUUAUUCAAAAACUAGUGAUUCACAUAAAUUUCAAAAAAUUCAAAUUUAAACUAUUCAAAUUGGAAAACAAAUGGCACUAACAGAAAGUUUAUAAUUUUUAUUACCUAAAAGCAAAAGGAACUAAAAAAUAAAGCAAAAACAAAAGAAAAUAAAUAAUGCAAAAAAAAGGAAAAAACUGGGAAAAAAAUGCCACCUACUGGGCCACUACGGCCUGAAUACGACUAGAAACCCUACCAUGGGCCAGGAUUCAGGCCCGCAGAAGGUCCAGUAGGCCCAACAGGCAUAGCAGUGACAAUUAGGCCCGUAAGCCUGCAAUCGAGAGGAGCUCGAGAGGGAUGCGACAGUGGGGCUUAUAAACCACUACUCGCCC